rnacentral:misc_RNA from 1 species
UCGCAGUCUAAUAAUGUUAAACGCCACGUGUUGAAUUACACACAAAGAAACAAAUAAAAAGGAAAAAAACUUUCCCCCCAACUCUUUAAACAAAAAUGGCCUCAAGUGCUGGAAAGUACCAACAAAGUGAACUUAGUCAUAGCAUCCUUAACCCCCGAGCACAACAGAUAAUUGUACAACCUUUCCCGAGACACUUAUGGUCAAGAAAUAGUUAUGUUUGAUAUGCGACGAAGGACAUGAAACCAUAAUUGCCCAGCUGAUAAAAUUUCAAAUUGCAGUAUCAACUCUUCCUUAUUCAACAGAGCAUCGUGUUAGCAAAGCAGAAGUGAAAGCCUGUGAUCACUGAUAACUUUUCUGUUUGUUGCUAUCCUCCGGUGGCAGUAAUACAUACUGCAAGAUCUGCUCCACCUGUGCAACUUCUAGUCUAAACUUCUUGGCAAUCUGGUGGAUGUCCAUUGGUCCAUUGUGAUCAUCAGCUUUACCUUGAUGCAGAAGCAUGAUGUGGCGCAGCUGUGCCACAUUCAAAGUUCCUUGAGGAGCAGGUCUUUCUUCAU